GAUGAAGAACGUAGCGAAAUGCGAUAGGUAGUGUGAAUUGCAGAUGUAACGUGAAUCAUCGAAUCUUUGAACGCAAAUUGCACUCUCUGGUAUUCCGGGGAGUAUGCCUGUUUGAGGGUCGCCAAAUCAACAUCGAAAUUCAUUUGCUUUUUGCAAAUGUUUAUCGGAUUUGAGCCGUCUUUUUAUUUUUUUUUUAAAGUGGUUUAAAAUGUAUUUUUUUGGUAUCGAAAUACGUUAUUUUACGAUCCAUCGAUCAAAAAACAAACGUUUCGAAUGCCGUCUUUUAAUGUAAUACGUUUGACUGUGUAUACAAUCAUGGUUUCAUUCGUAUACGAGUUUUUAAUUUUUGACCUCAAAUCAGGUAAGAACACCCGCUGAACUUAAGCAUAUCAAUAAGCGGAGGA
rnacentral:misc_RNA from 1 species